AAAGUUUGAGAACCGUUAACUUAAGGCACUUGGUAGGUGGAACAGAAUCUGGUCCUACCUGCAUUAAUAUUUAAACAACUUGUAAGGAUGUGGUGAUGUGUCCAUACUGUUGAUGAAGAACAGGUUCUAAUUUUCCUACUGUUAUCAAGGACAGUGAAUGACAGAAAGGGAGGAGAAAACAGGAAGAGGAACAUGGUAGAGAAAGAUGGAGGUAGAAAAAGCCAGGAAAAGAAUGUUAUGGAGAAAAAGUGAGAACAAAACUAGACAGAAAAAGCUAGGGAAGAUAUUAUAAGGAAAAACUAGAAAUGAACCAAGAAGGAGAAAAAAAAAGAGAAAAUGGUGCAUGCGAGAGAAAACAUGGUCAAAAAAUAAGAAAAAGCUGUGGCAUGGCCUGGCCAGAGAAAUCAUUGUGAGGUGGUGACGUAUGAUAUGGUCCAUUGCACAGCAGUACUACAGAGAAGGAAGUUGAUAACAAACAAUGAGCUAAAAGAUCAAUUUUCUUUCUUUUUUUUUCUGGAAACACAUGACCAAUCUGUCCUGCACUAUUUUGGCAAAGGAGACAGCCAAAGCACUUAACAGAGAGCAGGUAUUAAAAUGUUGAAUCUAUGCAGCUGGAAUUGAUGCAGGCUAUCCACCCAAUUUUAUAAAAGGAGGCAUGUGUCAGCCACAGGUCCUAAGCUGGCCCACAAAUAGGACUGGCUGUCUUCCUUUCUGUCUGAGCUCCCAGCCGUCCAUAUGAUAAAGGACUCUUCAACACAGUGGGGAAUUCAAAAACUUUAUCCUCACUACUUCACCCUAAGAGCUCCAAAUCAAUGAACUACCUGGUAAGGAGGAAGAUCAGUCUGUUCAGGAAUGAUAUUUUCCAUUAGCUUUCCCUACAGCAGAAGCCAUCUUCUGAGGAAGAUGAAAACUAUAAGAGGGGGUUCUCUCUCAGACUGACACCCUGUCUCAUGAUACAUGAGGGUGUGAGCAUUGGACAAGGAUUGCCUAAGAUGAGUAGGGAUGUCUCCCAGCAUAAUCCUGUAUGUCUAACUGAAGAAUCCUCAGGUUGAAUAGCUUGUUACUCAUGCAGAGAAGCCAUCCUAUUCUUGAGCACUGUAAAUCUAGCUGUAUACAUGCCUCUUUGGCUUAAGGGCUCUAAGAGCAUGUCUCAUGUUCCAGCCCAGAAAGGACAUUUCUGUUCAGAAAGUUCCCAGGUGCAAAGCUCCAGGUAUACAGAGAAGAUCUUCUGCUGAGAAGUCCAAUCAAGUGGAAGAGGUGAGCUUCUUUCUUUGGCUAAGGAAAAAAAGGUAUGUUAAAUAUUGUCUCAUUCAAAGUCAAGGCACGUUCUUAAAGUGUUGACUCAGUCCCCAGGUCUACAUCAGCACAAAGCUACAGCACCUACAGUGGGGCUACUUGCAUAAAAAGGGAUAUGCUGGAGUGGGACCCUGAAUCCUUCCUGGUACAAAUCCACAUAAUGUGCCUGUGUGAAAGGUUUGAUUUCAGAAUGCUGGACUAGCAGUAAAACAUGCAAAGGCCAGCAGUAGCCAAAUAACUCUUUGGUUAUCAGUACACAUCAAGUAGACAGCCUUGUGUGUAUUCAUUCCAUAAAAGCUUGGAAUACAUUAUAAAAAAGGAAUCUCUUUUUGUUCGGCUGGCUCCACAGAGAUGUAAUAUUAUAGAAAGAGCUGGCACUCAAGAUAGAGAUCUCGCCUGUGCACUCUCUGCAUUUCCCAGUGCAUUCUGUUUCAUGUCUGUCAAUCUUCCGAUCCAAGCCUGAAAAUAUCUGCUCUCCAUUGAAUCCAGUGGUUCUGAUAAAAAGUAAGUGCCAGACCCAGGUUCCAUUUUGCAGCAUAGAUGGGAUGCUAAACGUGUUCCUGCCCUGUGAGGUCCAGGGACAUGUUUGGAAGCCUGCUUAUGUUGCAAACUGGACUGGUUUUCAAGCUGCUCUCAGGGCAAAAAGGUGGAACGCAAAGGCUUGUCUAUGCUGCUGAGACUCCUGAGUGUAGCACUAUAGUCUCCCCCACCUACUCCCACUCCACAUGCACCAAUCCUAGAAAUGAGGCACUGAAGCUACCCUGAGGGAAACCCCAGUGCCAUUCUCAUGCAUGUCCUAGGCAGCUUGAGAGCAGCAACCGGGGCACCUCCAGAGGGGUGUUACAUGAUCCCCUUGGCAUUCUAAUUGCACCAGCUUGCCCCAGUUUAUACCAAUUUGCACUUAUACCCAUGGAUAAAUUGUGCCUCCUGGUUGAUCUCUUGUGAACUUGACCCCCUGAGUUGUAAGCUAAUUUUCUAAAAGACCUUUGCAGCUUGAUGUUUACACACACUUUUUUUACAAGCCUGAAUUUUCUUCCCACUGUGCUCAAGUGAUGUGUCACACUCUGGGAAAGCAUUGGUGCUUCCUCACACUGUGGAGCCUUGGGCAACUGGCUGAUGAUGCAGUUAGCAAUGCAAAAUGAGAAGCGGUAUCAUUUAGUGAGGUUGCUUGUUGUUGUUUUUUUAACUCUGCUUGCUUCAUCUUUUGAUGCGAUUCACUUAAAAAUGUAGCACAAUAAUAGCAGCAGAAGGAUGAAAAAGCACUAGUGCUAUUAUGGCCAGCAGCUGGGAUCUAUCUGUUUAUUUAUUCAUGGUGAUAUCUUCGGUUUAUGUUACUAGUAGUCAUUGAAGGAAUUCCAGGGAACCAGAAAGGUACCUGAAAUUCUAUUAGCAGAGGUGUCAAGUACAUUUUAAUAUAGGAAAGAACAUAUUCAUAGUAGGUAUAUUUCACCAAGGGAGAAUUCAGGAAUGUCUCAGCACUCUAAAAAAUGUCCUACUCCAUUUCAACUCAGCUUGCCAGUCCACUUUAAUGCUCAUUAUCUUCUGCUGUCAACUAUGCUCCCAUUUUUUUAAACUCUAUGAUUUUUGUGUUUUAAAUGAUUCGUGGUUUGCUGAAUGAAGUCUUUGAAGUAUGUCAUGGGUAUUCUCUAUAAAAAUCAAUGAAAUGUAACUGAACCAAAUCUAAUUAAGUGUCUAUGUGAUUUAGAAGACUUUUCCUUCAGCUGCCAUUUGCAUUAAAAAGAUUUGUAGACUUGUUUA